rnacentral:rRNA from 1 species
CAGCAGCCGCGGUAAUACGAAGGGGGCUAGCGUUGUUCGGAAUUACUGGGCGUAAAGCGCACGUAGGCGGAUAUUUAAGUCAGGGGUGAAAUCCCGCAGCUCAACUGCGGAACUGCCUUUGAUACUGGGUAUCUUGAGUAUGGAAGAGGUUAGUGGAAUUGCGAGUGUAGAGGUGAAAUUCGUAGAUAUUCGCAGGAACACCAGUGGCGAAGGCGGCUAACUGGUCCAUAACUGACGCUGAGGUGCGAAAGCGUGGGGAGCAAACAGGAUUAGAUACCCCUGUAGUCCCUGUCUCUUAUAC